GGAGGUGUAGCUCAACGGUCAGAGCAGGGGACUCAUAAUCCCUUGGUUCAGGGUUCGAAUCCCUGCGCCUCCAC
rnacentral:tRNA from 1 species